UCUACAUGGCUAAGUGCCAGGUCCUGCACUUUGGCCACAACAACCCCAUGCAGCGCUACAGGUUUGGGACAGGGUGGCUGGAAAGCUGUGCAGAGAAAAAGGACCUGGGACUGUUGGUUGAUGCUCAUCUGAACAUGAGCCAGCAGUGUGCCCAAGCGGCCAAGAAGGCCAACAGCAUCCUGGCUUGUGUCAGGAAUAGUGCAGCCAGCAGGACCGUGGAGGUGAUUGUCCCCCUGUGCUCAGCUUUAGUGAGGCCACACCUUGAGUGCUGCGUUCAGUUUUGGUCUCCACACUACAAGAAGGACAUCAAGGCCCUGAAAUGUGUCCAGAGAAGGGUUGCGAAGCUGGUGAAGGGCCUGGAACACAAAUCCUGUGAGGAGUGGCUGAAGGAAGAGGGAACUGGGGUUAUUUAGUCUGGAGAAGAGGAGUCUCAGGGGAGACCUUAUUACUCUCUACAACUUCUUUAAGGGAGGUUGUGGUGAGAUGGGUUUCAGCCUCUUCUCACAGGUAACCAGUGAUGGGACAAGAGGGAAUGGCCUCAAGUUGUGCCAGGGGAAAUUUAAGGUUGGAAAUGAGGAGAAAUUUCUUCUCAGAAAGAGUCAGGCAUUGGAAAAGGUUGCCUAAGGAGGUGGUUGAGCCCCUGUCCUUGGGGAUGGUUAAAGAAAAGUUGGAUGCGGUGCUUAGGGACGUGGUUUAGUGGGUGACAUUGGUAGUAGGGGGAUGGUUGGACCAGAUAAUUGUGGAGGUCUUUUCCGACCUUAAUGAUUCUGUGAUUCUACGAAGUGAUCAUUCAGAUUCAAAGAUAGGUCUAGAUUUUCAUUUUUCCUUGAUCUUUACUAAUAGCUGUUUAAUUCAGUAACCUUCAAUAAUCCUUAACAGAUAUCUGGAACUGAACAGUCUGUUUAAAUUCAGUACACACACAUACUUGUGUGAGUGUUGAGAAAGACCACAGGUGUAUCUUUGAGAACCACACAUGUGUCCUCCUGCAAUAUCCCCAGAGCUAGACGCAACUACAGGCCAGAAUAAUUUUUAAAGGAAGCAGAAUGACAACACAGCAAAUUAUGGGAAAAAGAUUACGGUCAAUUUUAACUGCUCCUUUGUAGGUCCACCUUUAUAAAUCAUUAACACUUUUAUCCACCAAUGAAGAACGUUCCCUAUAUUAAACACGAUCAUCAGAAUCCCAAAAUACAGUAAAAGUUUUACCUCAGGUCCCUGUGAAGCUGCUGUUACUGUGCGGAUCCCUCUUUGGGGCACACCACCAUCUUCCUGGCUAGCUUGCAAGAAGCUUGCCCUAGCCUGGGUGGCAUCUGAUGCAGCCUCGCUGGUAUAAAUUCAAUACUUGCCCUGCUUUGUGCAGAUCCAGAACAUACCAUUGCUGGCACUGUUUCAGAACUCUGCACUGGGACCAGAUGAUCUUGGAGGUCUUUUCCAGCUUAAUGAUUCUAUAACUGUGCUCUAACUUGGUGCUGUGAAAUCAGCUGGUAGUCAGCACACUGGAAGUUUUUGCUGUUUGACAUAAGUCUACCUAUAAUGUAUAUGAAGAACAUGUUUGGACUGUUUGCUCACAGAACGAUUCAGCUUUCUUCCCUAACAAUGUGCUCAUUGCAAAAAGUAAAAUUUAUUAGAGUGCUUAAUGCCUUACAUUUCUCAGAUGUAUAAGUUAGGCAGGUAAAGUCAUUUCAGAUUUUUGAAGCAAAAGCACAUGUGAAGUCUCUGAAAAUCUUGGACUGGAACAAAACUGUCAAGGAGAAUUUUGCAUGGGCAAAGGAUUGCAUGCCAUAGCAUCAAAACCGCAUUACAGUAAAUCUGGUGUAAUUAGAUGAUGCACUCUCUUUCCUGUGUUCUUAUGUCUUAAAUUUUCUAAAUCUGAUAUUUAAAGACAAAGUAGCAGCAAUAUUCGUUGGGUAGGUAGAAAAAAGUCUGAUAAAGUUGCACAUUGUUUUUAAGGUAAAAAGUCUAGUGUGUUUUUUUUUUUUAAGAGAAUGCUUGUGGACUAUAUAUUUCCACUUUAACCUCUUCUGUGGUUUCAUUACUCCCACUAGGAGGAGCGUGUUUUCUUAGUAAAGAUAUGUGAUAAACUGCUUUACGAGUGUAUGGUAAAUAUCUUUCUUAGUGUGAAAUCUGAACUUUCAAAUGUGACAAGUUGCUCAUAUCUUGGUAACCAGCAGAACAGUACCAAGUAAAUAACUUGUAUCUGUUAUCUUCUGUAGCUUUGUUUCAUUCAGUAUGAAGUUCUACAAGAGUGAAGUGCAAACACAUUACAUUUCAUAUCUCUUUAGCCAUCUUGUAUUCUUUAUGAAGCUUCCAAUAAUGAAUAAAUUACUAUACUACAGAGCACAAAUAUAUCUGGUAUAACUUUUUUAUAUAUAAAAAUGCAUGCCAUUCAAAUACUGAACUGGAUCUUGAAUAGGAAUGUGGAAGCCACAUAAUUCUAUUUUGGCAAGUAUUGGAUUUGUUGGUAGGUGCUGAUACUGAAUUAUGAAUCCUUUGCGUACUGAGGGACUGCGAUUUAGUUAUGUGAUAGGACCUCCAGGGGGAAGCAUGGGACUGACAAGACCACACUGACUGCAAGCAAAGACAGACUUUCUGAUACAGAAUCUUUGCUUGUGUUAGCAGUAAAUCUUUUCUGUUCCAAAUUGAGACUAUAAAAUCUUUGUCUGGAAAAAAAAAACAAAACAAAACAAAUGAAAAACAAACAAAAACUACUAUCAGGCUUUAAUACCAAAAGACUGGGAAUGAUUGUGGUUACUUGCAGAGAGAAGAGUAACUGAUGAAAAUUGAGAUGUAAUGCAUGAUUAAACAGGCAGACCCUCUGCUUGUUGUAUUCAUGGUUCAGUUCUGUCAUUGAUAAUUUAGCCAGUGUAGUGUGCUUCUGCUGUCUAGAAGUCGAUGAGUGACGGUAGAAUGAAAGGAGAAGCAAAACAGCAUGGCUUUGUAAAAGCAUUUUUUUGAUAGUUGUAUAAAUAAAAUAUAUUAUGAUACUUGACUGAUAAUCGGAAAGUAAGCUCCAAAAAAAGUUAAGACAUUUUAAUUUAGUACCUUCAUUAUGUAAGUGCCUGGUCCUUUUUAUCUACUAAUAAUGUUCUAGCUUCCAUUCUCAUCUUUUCUCACAUAAUCCCAGAAGAAUGUUCAUGAUGCCAUAUGAAUUGAGCUGGCCGGUAAGUUACAUGUCUUUAUACUACUGAAAAAGUUUGAUUGCAGGUUUUUUGGAUAUAUUUAAUUCCUAGCACUUCAUUUACACCCAGUCUGGUGUUAGAGCCUCUGUGGGUAUAGCAGUGUGCUAAUAUUGUAUGACAGUGUCAAGUGAAUUGUAUCCAGGAGAAGUUCUUGAAUUUAUGAAGAAAUCACAAGAUAAGCAUUUGCCUGUGGAUGAAUCUCCACCUGUGGAAAUGUGGUGGGUAAUAGCAAAGAGUUCAGGUAGGGCUCAAGCAUGGAACUGCUCUUCAGCUUCUGACUGGUCAAUUGAUGUUUUGAAGAACAGUAAACUGCAGGGGAGGUUUACAAGAGCACAAAUAUCAAUUGCAUCUUGGUUUCUUGUGCUGUGUACCAUGUUCUUGUUAAAAUAAUACACAGUAUAUUCAAACUAUACUUCACCAGUUAUAUCAAGGCUAAUUCUGUCCUAGUGCUUUUUGAACAGGAAUAGCUCAGGCAAACUUCUCAUUGAAAUAUUUUUAAUUUCUUCUUACGGUAUUGUGCACAGAUUUCAGUUGUAUCCUGAUUUAGAACUUUGGGCAUUCCAGUACUGCUGUAGCAGAUUGCAGUGUCUCUGCUGUUUAGCUGAGUGUACAGGCAGCUAGCUUCUGGGCGUUCUGGAGUGGCUGAGGACAUCUCUUCAGUGUCCCUUUUGCAGGUGGCAUUGGGGGGAAAAAGAAGAAAAGGAACUGAAAGGUGGAGAAAUGAUGACAGGAGAUUGUAGGAUUCUUUAUUUUUAUUUUCAGUAUUUAUUGUUGUAUUUUUUAAAAAUAUUUUUCCUUUUCUAAGUGUUUUCUAGGUUUCCUGGACUUAAGCUCUGUUCCUGUCAAGCCCAUUUGUGGUUCAUCACGCACUGCAUCAGCAUUCUUUCAGAAGGCUUGAUUCAUAUUUAUCUUACAGCUUAGAACUAAUUCUCCUUGCAAACAUUAAAACAAAACAAACAAACAACAAAAAAAACAGCCCUGAAUAUUUCACUUUUUUCUUGAGUUUCUGUACUUCUCAACUUAAGUGUUUAGGAAGCUGGGUCUUUGAUUAGCUUACAAUAGAGGUGAAAUAUGGAAGUUGUUAACAUAAUUGCCUAUAAUAUUUUCAAGAAAAUGUGCUUACAUGUUUUUGGGUGACAUCUGAGUCACCUCAGUGCCUACUGAUAGACCUGCUGCUUUGCUAGGCUCACAUAGAGUAAUUGUGAGGCUUUGUAAUACCACAUGAUAAAGGCAGAGCAAAAUGAAAAUCAUAAUCUUCAAAAUGGAGUCCAGCCUGUGCUUUUUUUUCAUUAUUUGGGUUGAGAGAAGAAACCUAAAAAGAAUAAUCCUGGUGUUUUGUACAUUCUUCAUGUCAUGAACUGCAUAGUAUUAUAUCUUGGAUAGAGAAGGGCAGGCUUUUGGAAGCUGAAGAGUGGUAAGAUACAGUGCAACUUUUUUCUGUUGGCCUCAGCACCCUUUGCAGUGCUAGAAGUUUUCGUUUUCUAUCUUUUUGUUGUGGUGUUUUGCCAGUAUUCCAGACAGAGGUAUUAGUAUGCUCUUAAAAAAAAAAAAGACAAAUAUAGAUAGGAGAAGGAAGUUAAUUUAACGAACUUAUUAUAAAUAAUAAUACCUAUAAAGUUAUGAGAAGGUGGAGUCCCUUUGAUAAUGCUGUUGCUCUGGGAUGUGAUACAGGGAGGGGGACCCAGCUUCCAGAGGAAGGCUGCAUGGAGCCAUUGAGAUACUCCUAAACUGAGCUGUCUGCUGGAUUAUCGUGAUUCUGGUCUGAUAAAUCUGUUAUGGCAGGUCAUGCACAAAAAUUUCUAAGCUGUUUCCAGAGUAGAAAUAACCAUGAAAGCAGUGGGUCAUAUGUAUCUUGUGCUUGACUGCAGGAUCAUGGCCCUGAGGUUGCUCAAUGUGAAGCAGUUUGCAUGUCCCUCCAUUUGCAAGAUAUCUGAUUUUUUUUUCCUGAUGGAAGGGGUGACUGCAUAUGUAAUGAACACCUUGUAGAUCUAGUUCCACAUCUAGUUCCAGAUCUAGUGCAAUAAUGCUCAUAUGGAGUUGCCAUUUUUGAUGUUUUCUAAAAUUCCACAAUAAUGAGGCUUCUGCCAGCAAUGACAUGGAUUUUAGAAAAUUAAACACCACUAAUGUCUACUUAUUCCUUUGUAGCUGUUUGCUAAUGCAAAUUUUCAUCUUUCAAUUUCCAUCCUUCUGCUAGUAUGUUUGCUCUUUUUUGUGGCUCUCUUCUGAGUUGAAAUGGGUCCUGGUAACAUCCACGGGUAACUACCAGGUGAGAUAGGCCAGCUUUAAUAAAACUUGCAGUUUCUCUCAAGAUCUUUGAGAGGGAAUCUCCUGCUCCUGAGGGAAAAAAAAAUAAAAAGAAAAAAUUAACCAACCAAAAAAAAAAAAGUAGCCUUGUUUGCAGCUUUUCACCUCUUGAUGUGUUUUUGUGAUAUUUUUCCCUUUGGACUGUGACCCUUUCCCCAUUUCAUGAUGGCUUCUCAGAACUUCGGCUUCCAGCCUCCUACCCAUGUUAUGUUUAUGAUAAGUAAGUUUGUCAGUCCUCUUAUUCCUUGCACUGGUAUUGUUCAUGGAUAGUGACAGAACUACUGACGUUGCUUAGAGAGCCUUGGUUAAUGCAGAGGUAUGUCUGCCCUAGCUCAUGUUUGAGGUUGUGCUUCACAGCACUUUGAAAGCACCUUUGAUUCUACCUGCCUUCUGUUCCACUGCGGUCUUUGCACCUUUGGAGUGCUGUUUUUAGGGUUCCUGAGUGCAACUCGAUUCCCAUCUUCCAGAACAAUACAGGAGAGAUGAUACCAAGUCUUUAAUGGCUAUGGGGUUUUGCUCUUUGUUUGAUUCUCAAGUAUGGUAAUCAUUUUUUUUAUGCAAAUUGUUUCCUGAGUCUCAAGAGUUCAUUUAGUCUGAGAGUUCAGCUUGAUUUGAGUGAGCUUUGAAGCUUUAUACCUGCAGACUGAUCCAUCAAAAAUUGCUUUUUUGGAACAUUUAAUUUGCUGGUCAAGAUCCAUCUGUGAGGUGAGAGUUUGUCUUUGAAGUCCUUUGGCCUCUGCUGAACCAUGGCUUUGUAUAUGGCUCUGCAAGCCUUGAUCUCUUCAGCGUUCAAUAAAAGAAGAUUUCUUUGGCUUAAUCCCCCCCCCCCCGCCCCUUUUUUUAGGGAAACAACAUGAUCAGAGCUGUCAGGUAACUCCUGAAUCUCAAAAUUGAUAAUUUCUCCAGAAUUAGUAGUUCCAUCUUCACUGCUUUGGCCAUUAGGCUUAGAAGAUGCUCUCAGUGGAGUGUGAUAAACUCCAUUGCCUCCUGCAGUAGUACCUUGUUGACAUGUAUCAUAAAUAAAGCUUUUGUAGGCAAUAAGAUUUCUUUCAGCCUUGUUAUUUGUCAUUCAUGUGAAUACGUUAGAUUGAUUUUUGAUUUUAGAUCCUUGCUGUUCCUAGUGGAUUUUUUUAAAAGCAAGAAAACCAAAAACCAUGCAAGUGACAGCUAAUAUCACAAAUGCACAACGUUAUGAAAUGUCUGUCUAGACACUGGUGAAGUAACUGUUGUGUUUUAUUUCAUAUGCAGGAUAUUCAGGUUGAUGCAUCUUUGACAUAAACUGAACAAUUUCUCCUCUUGAAUGGCCAGUUUCAAGGGGGGGGGGGAAUCUGUUCUGGAGUAGUUUGGAUAUCUCAUUCUGUAUGCUUAAAAAUUUUUCCAACAUACAAAGAAUUCUUUUUUUCUAAAGAGAAGAAAGCCUUACCACUAAAACUGAGGAACAUGGAUAUACAUUUAAACAUAUAAAACCCUUAGUCAAGUUGGUAUUCAAAGACUAAAGUGUAAAAUAACCUAAAUCAGCUGUAACAGCAAUGUCACAUUCCUUUAGUGAGCUGAAGUAGUACUUGGGUAACAAUUGCCUGCCUUCUUCCUUCUUGUUUCCAGAUUAUACCUAAAUUUUAAUUUAUAGGUGGCUAUGCAGAUGCAAUAGUUAUAGUUAUUUUGAAGAACUGCUAAGGAUUUUUCCGAGUGUACCUCAGUAAUUCAAGAUAUUUGGCACGUAGUGCAGAUGUCAAGCAUUGUUUCACUUACCUUUGGCUUUACGCUCCCAGAGAGGCAGGAGAACAAAUACAACACUUUUUUCUAAUUGCAGUUUGUUUAAACAUGUUCUAACAGCAGUUUAUUUAUACAGUUUAUGUAUGUGAGAAUUGAUUACCUAUUUACAUGUUAGUAUUACUAACAACCUCCAUAAAAUUCUUUACCACAUUAAUGAUGAGGGCAGCAGAGUCUUUCCUGGGAUUAUGAAGUCUAUUUUAUACGUGCUAUUUAUAAUAAGAGAUUUUGUUUGUGCAUUCAUAUCUGCUAACCUCCAGCUUCUUUUUCUUGGUGUAGGAUUAGAGGGCCUGUGUGCUCUGUUACAACUUUCUCUUAUUUGAAAUCUAAUUAUUUCAACUCUCGUCUAUUUUUAGAUGGUGAAGGACAGACACUGUGAUGGGCACUAAAGCAAGGACUUGCAGUGUGAAGUGACAGUAAACGUAAAACAUAUAUUGGAUUAGCUAUCUUCCAGAAGAACCCCAGCAUCUGCCUGUUGUGACAAGUGAUCCGAGAAGUGACAUGCAUAGCAGUUCCAGGUGGGUUUGGUACAUGUGUAUGAAGUCUUCUUUCUUGUUAUAUGCAGUGUACUAUAUAAACAACACAUGCAUUGUAUAAUUGUUUCCUACCUGGUCCUUUUGUAAUGUCCAUUUUUUCUAAUAAACAUCUUUUGAAGUCAU